rnacentral:rRNA from 1 species
UACGUAGGGUGCAAGCGUUGUCCGGAAUUAUUGGGCGUAAAGAGCUCGUAGGCGGUUCGUCGCGUCGGCUGUGAAAUCCCGAGGCUCAACCUCGGGUCUGCAGUCGAUACGGGCGGACUGGAGUUCGGCAGGGGAGACUGGAGUUCCUGGUGUAGCGGUGAAAUGCGCAGAUAUCAGGAGGAACACCGGUGGCGAAGGCGGGUCUCUGGGCCGAUACUGACGCUGAGGAGCGAAAGCGUGGGGAGCGAACAGG